GAAAGAGAAACUGCAAUAAACAUUUACGCUCUUGUGAUACAGAAGAUGAAUCGACGCCUAUACAAAAAAAAACUAAAAGUAGAAAGAAGAUAAUAUCAUCGUCAAGUUCUUCUGAUAAUGAGGAUAGCGGAAUAAAUAAUAUACCAAUGCCACCUGCCACGUACGUGAACCAAAAGGAUCAGCAACUACCACCAACAUUUAAAACUCCUAUAUCAUUACUUGAGCCGUAAAAGUAUUUGUAAUUUUAAUAAUAAGAUUAUUUAUAUUGGUAUGUAAUAUCGUUACUAUUCAUUGUGUUAUCAAAUAAACAAUAA